rnacentral:rRNA from 1 species
GACGAACGCUGACAGAAUGCUUAACACAUGCAGUCACUGAUUGUGGCGGACGGGCGAGUAACUCGUACAGAACUAGCCUCCCAGCUAGGGACAACAUUUGGAAACGAAUGCUAAUAAAUACUACUGUGAGAGAGCUUUGCGUCCCAUUGGCUAGUUGGAGAGGUAACGGCUCACGAAGGCAAUGAUGGGUAGCCGGGCUGAGAGGGUGAUGGGCAAGAAGGGGACUGGGACACGACCCUUACUCGUACGGGAGGCAGCAGUUGGGAAUGUUGGACAAUGGAGCAAAGUCUUGUCCGGCAAUUCUGUGUGCACGAUGAAGUUUUCGGUAUGUAAAGUGCUUUCAGUUGGGAAGGGGUACCAACAGAAGAAGCGACAGCUAAAUACGUGCCAGCAGCCGCGGUAAUAC